rnacentral:rRNA from 1 species
GACGAACGCUGGCGGCGUGCUUAACACAUGCAAGUCGAACGGUAAGGCCCCAGCUUGCUGGGGUACACGAGUGGCGAACGGGUGAGUAACACGUGGGUGACCUGCCCCGCACUUCGGGAUAAGCCUGGGAAACUGGGUCUAAUACCGGAUAGGACCGCACCGUGAGGGUGUGGUGGAAAGUUUUUCGGUGUGGGAUGGGCCCGCGGCCUAUCAGCUUGUUGGUGGAGUAAUGGCCUACCAAGGCGGCGACGGGUAGCCGGCCUGAGAGGGUGGACGGCCACAUUGGGACUGAGACACGGCCCAGACUCCUACGGGAGGCAGCAGUGGGGAAUAUUGCACAAUGGGCGGAAGCCUGAUGCAGCGACGCCGCGUGGGGGAUGACGGCCUUCGGGUUGUAAACUCCUUUCACCAUCGACGAAGGUUUUCUGACGGUAGAUGGAGAAGAAGCACCGGCUAACUACGUG